CAUCCCUCCAUUUCCUAUUGCCCUUAUUAGCGUUUCGGCGGGUGAGCCGGAGCCUCCAUUCCAGCUGAGUGGGGGCGAGAGAAGCAGGGUACAUACACUCUGUACUCGUCACCAGACAGUCACAAGGCGUGAAGCAGCAUGUGCUGGCGACAUUCAUAUGGAGCAGGUGGCUGGCGCCAGAAGCUCACGCAUCAAUCUGCUAUCUUCUCUCAGUGCUCCUUCUUGUCAGACAUCGCUUCACUUCAACUUCCGGCGUUCAGCGAAGGCAACGAAAGAAGACUUUCCAAUGGUCUGAGAACUUCAGGGACCGGUCUGCUGCUGGUGCCCAGUGUCUGGAUGAACCACG